ensembl:lncRNA
GGGGAAGCUGAGCCAGGGAGGGGGCGCGGCCCCGGGCGGCGCGGAGUGUCCCCUCCUGGUUGAGCCUGACUUUCUCUCUCGUUGCGGCAAGUGGGGGCAGCUCUGUUGCUGCGGAGUGCAGCAAGAUUCUCAAGCCCUGGACCACCCGGAAGAGUAGCCCCUGCUCUCCGGAACCGAAGAAAGCCGACGUGCAGCAAUGACUGGACAGUCAUAAGUAGAAAUACACGGUGUUGGAAUGGACAUACACACAGUAGUGAUACCGCAUAUAAAGCAGAUAACGAGCGAGAACCUGCUGUGCAGCACAGGGGACUUCGCUCACUGCUCUGUGGUGCCCGAGACGGGAAGGAAAUCUGAAAAGAGUGGCUGGGUGUGCACGUGCCGCGGAUUCCCUCUGCUGCGCAGCAGAGACCAACACAACACUGCAGAUCAACUCUACUUCAGUGAGAAAUGUUACACGAGUUGGAAUAGUACAUACGUAUUUUGCAAAAGGCAAAAUGGCGGUCUGGGGAGGCCUUACAAAUAGCUGAGAACAGAAGAAAAGCGAAAGGCAAAGGAGAAAAGGAAAGAUACAGCCAUCUGAAUGCAGAGUUCCAAAGAAUAGCAAGGAGAGACACGAAAGCCUUCCUAGGUGAUCAAUGCAAAGAAAUAAGGAAAACAAUAGCAUGGAAAAGACUAGAGAUCUCUUCAAGAAAAUUAGAGAUACUAAGGGAAUAUUUCAUGCAAAGAAGGGCACAAUAAGGGACAGAGAUGGUAUGGACCUAACAAAAGCAGAAGUUAUUAAAAAGAGGUGGUAAAACUACACAGAAGAACUACACACACAAAAAAUGUUAAUGACCUAGAUAACCAUGAUGCUGUGAUCACUCACCUAGAGCCAGACAUCCUGGAGUGCAAAGUCAGGUGGGCCUUAGGAAGCAUCACUAUGAACAAAGCUAGUGGAGGUGAUGGAAUUCCAGCUGAGCUAUUUCAAAUCCUG